rnacentral:rRNA from 1 species
AUUGAACGCUGGCGGCAUGCCUUACACAUGCAAGUCGAACGGCAGCGGACCUUCGGGUGCCGGCGAGUGGCGAACGGGUGAGUAAUGCAUCGGAACGUACCUUUCAGGGGGGGAUAACGUAGCGAAAGUUACGCUAAUACCGCAUAUUCUGUGAGCAGGAAAGCAGGGGAUCGCAAGAACUUGGGCGGAGUGAGCGGCCGAGGUCAGAUUAGCUAGUUGGUGAGGUAAUUGCUCACCAAGGCGACGAUCUGUAGCGGGUCUAAGAGGAUGAUCCGCCACACUGGAACUGAAACACGGUCCAGACUCCUACGGGAGGCAGCAGUGGGGAAUUUUGGACAAUGGGGGCAACCCUGAUCCAGCCAUGCCGCGUGAGUGAAGAAGGCCUUCGGGUUGUAAAGCUCUUUCGGCCGGGAAGAAAUCGCACGGGCUAAUACCCUGUGUGGAUGACGGUACCGGAAUAAGAAGCACCGGCUAACUACGUGCCAGCCGCCGCGGUAAUAC